rnacentral:rRNA from 1 species
AUUGAACGCUGGCGGCAUGCCUUACACAUGCAAGUCGAACGGUAACAGGUCUUCGGAUGCUGACGAGUGGCGAACGGGUGAGUAAUACAUCGGAACGUGCCCGAUCGUGGGGGAUAACGAAGCGAAAGCUUUGCUAAUACCGCAUAAGAUCUACGGAUGAAAGCAGGGGACCGCAAGGCCUUGCGCGAACGGAGCGGCCGAUGGCAGAUUAGGUAGGUGGUGGGAUAAAAGCUUACCAAGCCGACGAUCUGUAGCUGGUCUGAGAGGACGACCAGCCACACUGGGACUGAGACGCGGCACAGACUCCUACGGGAGGCAGCAGUGGGGAAUUUUGGACAAUGGGCGAAAGCCUGAUCCAGCCAUGCCGCGUGCAGGAUGAAGGCCUUCGGGUUGUAAACUGCUUUUGUACGGAACGAAAAGACUCUUUCUAAUAAAGAGGGUCCAUGACGGUACCGUAAGAAUAAGCACCGGCUAACUACGUGCCAGCCGCCGCCGUAAAAC